AACCUUCCUAGGGGUACGGAACAACUCAGGGAAACUUGAGCUAAUACCGUAUACGUCCGUAAGGAGAAAGAUUCAUCGCCCCUAGACGGGCCCGCGUAGGAUUAGGUAGUUGGUGAGGUAACGGCUCACCAAGCCUACGAUCCUUAGCUGAUCUGAGAGGAUGAUCAGCCACACUGGGACUGAGACACGGCCCAGACUCCUACGGGAGGCAGCAGUGGGGAAUCUUGGACAAUGGGCGCAAGCCUGAUCCAGCCAUGCCGCGUGAGUGAAGAAGGCCUUCGGGUUGUAAAGCUCUUUUACCAGGGACGAUAAUGACGGUACCUGGAGAAUAAGCCCCGGCAAACUUCGUGCCAGCAGCCGCGGUAAUACGAAGGGGGCUAGCGUUGUUCGGAAUUACUGGGCGUAAAGCGCACGUAGGCGGAUUGUUAAGUCAGAGGUGAAAUCCCGGAGCCCAACUUCGGAAUUGCCUUUGAUACUGGCAAUCUAGAGUCCGGAAGAGGUUAGUGGAAUUCCCAGUGUAGAGGUGAAAUUCGUAGAUAUUGGGAAGAACACCAGUGGCGAAGGCGGCUAACUGGUCCGGUACUGACGCUGAGGUGCGAAAGCGUGGGGAGCAGACAGGAUUAGAUACCCUGGUAGUCCACGCCGUAAACUAUGGG
rnacentral:rRNA from 1 species